rnacentral:snRNA from 1 species
GUGCUUGCUGCGGCGGCACAUAUACUAAAAAUUGGAUCGAUACAGAGUAGAUUAGCAUGGCCCCUGCGAAA